GUGUGGGUCCGGCGGGACGGAUGGGAUCCCGGCAGCGUGCGCUCCUCCGCGGCUCCUCAGCGGCUCUGCUCCGCGCUCCUCUUCCGCAUUCUCCCAGCUGACUGCAUCGUGUCCGCGCGCGCCUCAACCCUUUUACAGAUGUUUCAGCAUAGACCAGCGGUCACUUCUGGGACACAUUUCAGCGUAUGCAGAUGAUGUCGGUGUUUGAUGCACUGGAGGACUGACACAGUUCAAGUCCUCCGAUCACGUUUUUUUAUUUAAAACAACUUUCCAAGAGUGUUUUAAUGAUGAAUUUUUUAACCAAAAUCCCACAACCUGAAUGUCUUAAAAAGACAUGUUUUAAUACUCAGAAAUGCAAAAACAAAAUGAUUUCUGAAAACAUUUGUUCUCUUUCUUAAGAAAUAUCCCACACAGACAUGUUAAGAACUCCAAAAACAGGAUUUUCAUCUGAGAGGAACUUUAAUGUUUGGUUGAAGACAUGAAGAACAUUUUGAACAUCAGCUGCAGGCGGAUGGAGAGCGACCCGCUCCUCCAUGAUCAUGUGACACAAAGACAGUCACCAUCAGUCCUCUGUGGGAGUGUUUUUGUGUAACUUUACCUGAGAGGAACUCACUUGUCGGGUGUUCACUUCCAGGAAAAGCAGGUGUAAAACAAUUCCAAGAAUUAAUCAAAGUUAAAAAGUCAGUCUGUAGAGUCAAAUGUUCAGGAAGAACCUUAAUAAUGAUGAAGAGAAAUUUCAGAUCUGUGACUCAUGCUGGGCUUCUGGUGGAUGACGGACAUCCCACAAUGCACUGGGGUCCUGUGUGAAGAUGCAACAACUUUGACUUAGUGUGUUUGUUUGUGUUCAUUUCUUUAUUGAUUUGUUUCCUCUGAACUCAACAAAGUAAAAAAAAAAAAA